UAGACUGAGAAACUGGCUGGGUUUAGUGCUGGUUGUUUUUGCUCUUCACAGGAGUGGGGCGGGGCCGGCGGAAAUCCCAAGUACGCAAGCCUGCGGAAAGCGCUUGCAACUGCUGACCAGAAGGCUGACAGAAGACACCGCAGGCCAAGGGGCAACCCACAGGAAUGGGUUCCAACUCUGCAAACUCACAGCCACCGCUCUCCCCUGCUCUCACUGCUGUUCCUUGGGUAGUGCCAGCCAUCUGGUUCCUUGGGUAGUGCCAGCCAUCUGCAGCAACUCCCGCGGUAAAUCUUGAAACUCUGGUGUGUAUUUUACAUUUGUAAAUUUGCAGAUUAGCCACAUUACAAGUGCUCAAUGACCACAUAUGACUGACAACUUUCAUAUGGAACAGCAUGGCUUUAGAAAAGAUCUGGAAAGCUGAUGGACAAAGUUAAAGAUGCAAAGCAGAUUGUCAAGUGCAAAUGGAGCUGGAGAGAGAGGCUCAAACAGCAAGAUGCAUUCAAAGGAGAGUGAAAGGAGUGGUUGGGACAGGUGUAUGGGUCAGGGACUGACAAUCGAUUUUUCUUUCACUUCCUCAUUCUACUUUGCCAGAAUAGAGUUCUGUCUGCUUGUUGUAAGCCCCAACUGGGAGUGAUUAAACCUGCUUUUUCCUGACUCACCAAGGAAA